rnacentral:rRNA from 1 species
AUUGAACGCUGGCGGCAGGCCUAACACAUGCAAGUCGAGCGGAUGAACGGAGCUUGCUCCUGGCUUCAGCGGCGGACGGGUGAGUAAUGCAUAGGAAUCUGCCUGGUAGUGGGGGCUAACGUCCGGAAACGGGCGCUAAUACCGCAUACGCCCAGAGGGAGAACGUGGGGGAUCAUCGGAUCUCACGCUAUUAGAUGAGCCUAGGUCGGAUUAGCUAGUUGGUGGGGUAAAGGCCUACCAAGGCGACGAUCCGUAACUGGUCUGAGAGGAUGACCAGCCACACUGGAACUGAGACACGGUCCAGACUCCUACGGGAGGCAGCAGUGGGGAAUAUUGGACAAUGGGCGAAAGCCUGAUCCAGCCAUGCCGCGUGUGUGAAGAAGGUCUUCGGAUUGUAAAGCACUUUAAGUUGGGAGGAAGAGCAGUAAGUUAAUACCUUGCUGUUUUGACGGUACCAACAGAAUAAGCACCGGCUAACUUCGUG